CUUAGCAUGUUGCUAUUUCUCCUUUACAGUGCAAGGUCGGAGUUCUGUUUAAGCCAUUGCUGCCUCUGUCUCACAUGCAGGAGAAAGACCUGCCUCCUAUGAUAUCAAACAGCGUGAAGCCUCCGAGGAUGCUGCAGCACCAGCCUGCAUCUAAUGCCAGGUCACAGCCACAGAUCAGGCUUAGCGCCAGCUCCCUGGACAAUAGAAGCACAAUGCAAGAUCACGAUUGCAGUAUCAGGGUGUUGUCUUCAUGGAUGACAGAGAAACAAAGCAACGCUCCUGCAACUGAUACUGGGUCCAGAGGCCCUUCUGAACAUUUUAUGGACAAUGCUGUCAACCAGAUCCAGGAACAAAUGAAAACAAAGGAACCAGGUGGCAACUCGACUGCAGUGACAGCUUUUUGUCUGGACCAGGCUAGAGCUAUAUCUAUGCCCCGUCUCAGUGCUGAGCUGCAGUUUUAA
rnacentral:lncRNA from 1 species